rnacentral:rRNA from 1 species
AGAGUUUGAUCCUGGCUCAGAACGAACGCUGGCGGCGUGCUUAAUACAUGCAAGUCGAGCGAGAAAGCAUCCUUCGGGGUGUUAGUACAGCGGCAAACGGGUGAGUAACACGUAAGCAAUCUGCCCCCAAAUCUGGAAUAACAUUUCCAACGAGAUGCUAAUACCGGAUGUGAUCUUUUCUUCGCAUGUUGAAGAGAUUAAAGGUGACCUCUACUUGUAAGUUACUGUUUGGGGAUGAGCUUGCGGCCCAUUAGCUUGUUGGUGAGGUAACGGCUCACCAAGGCUUUGAUGGGUAGCCGACCUGAGAGGGUGAUCGGCCACAUUGGGACUGAGAUACGGCCCAGACUCCUACGGGAGGCAGCAGUAGGGAAUUUUGCGCAAUGGACGAAAGUCUGACGCAGCAGCGCCGCGUGAGGGAUGAAGGCCUUCGGGUUGUAAACCUCUGUUGAGUGGGAAGAAACGCUGUAUGGUUAAUACCCAUACAGUCUGACGGUACCAUUCGAGGAAGCCCCGGCUAACUACGUGCCAGCAGCCGCGGUAAUACGUAGGGGGCAAGCGUUGUUCGGAAUCACUGGGUGUAAAGGGAGCGUAGGCGGAAAAGUAAGUUAGGAGUGAAAUACACAGGCUCAACCUGUGGCCCGCUUCUAAUACUGCUAUUCUUGAGUGUGGAAGAGGAAGAUGGAAUUCCAGGUGUAGCGGUGGAAUGCGUAGAUAUCUGGAAGAACACCAGUUGCGAAGGCGGUCUUCUGGUCCAACACUGACGCUGAGGCUCGAAAGCUAGGGGAACGGGAUUAGAUACCCUGGUAGUCCUAGCCGUAAACGAUGGGUACUAGUUGCUGGAGGAGUCAACCCCUUCAGUGACGAAGCUAACGCAUUAAGUACCCCACCUGGGGAGUACGCUCGCAAGGGUGAAACUCAAAGGAAUUGACGGGGGCCCGCACAAGCGGUGGAGCAUGUGCUUUAAUUCGAUGCAACGCGAAGAACCUUACCUGGGUUUGACAUGGGGAUGAAACUUUCUGGAGACAGAUUGCCUUCCUUCGGGAACAUUCUACACAGGUGCUGCAUGGUUGUCGUCAGCUCGUGUCGUGAGAUGUUGGGUUAAGUCCCGCAACGAGCGCAACCCUUGUCCUUAGUUGCCAGCGAGUAAUGUCGGGAACUCUAGGGAGACUGCGUGGUAUAACCACGAGGAAGGUGGGGAUGACGUCAAAUCAUCAUGGCCCUUACGCCCAGGGCUAGACACGUGCUACAAUGGCAGGUACAGCGAGACGCAAGGCUGUGAGGUCAAGCUAAUCUCUUAAAACCUGUCUCAGUUCGGAUUGGAGUCUGCAACUCGACUCCAUGAAGGUGGAAUCGCUAGUAAUCGCGGAUCAGCAUGCCGCGGUGAAUACGUUCCCGGGCCUUGUACACACCGCCCGUCAAGCCAUGAAAGACGGUAGUGCCCUAAGUCGUGCGCCCAACCGCAAGGAGGGCAGCGCCUAAGGUAAGACUGUUAAUUGGGGCUAAGUCGUAACAAGGUA